CAAUAGCGUAUAUUAAAGUUGUUGCAGUUAAAAAGCUCGUAGUUGGAUUUGUGGUUCGUCCCGCCGGCUGGGUCAUUGACUUUUGCUGUGCUGGUCGUCCAUCCUUGGGUGGAAUCUGUGUGGCAUUAGGUUGUCGCGCAGGGGAUGCCCAUCGUUUACUGUGAAAAAAUUAGAGUGUUCAAAGCAGGCUUAUGCCGUUGAAUAUAUUAGCAUGGAAUAAUGAUAUAGGACCUUGGUACUAUUUUGUUGGUUUGCGCAUCGAGGUAAUGAUUAAUAGGGACAGUUGGGGGUAUUCGUAUUCCAUUGUAAGAGGUGAAAUUCUUGGAUUUUUGGAAGACGAACUACUGCGAAAGCAUUUACCAAGGAUGUUUNCAUUAA
rnacentral:rRNA from 1 species